rnacentral:rRNA from 1 species
GACGAACGCUGGCGGCGUGCUUAACACAUGCAAGUCGGACGGUCUGUAUAUUGAAAGCUUGCUGGAUAUGUACGGAUAGUGGCGGACGGGUGAGUAACGCGUGAAUACCUGGCCAUCGGAGGGGGACAACGGCUGGAAACGGUCGCUAAUACCGCGUAAGCCGUAAGGUGAAAGGCCACGGGAGUGGCUGCCGAUGGAUGGGUUCGCGUCCUAUCAGCUGGUUGGUGGGGUAAG